rnacentral:lncRNA from 1 species
CGUGGUUCCGGCGGCUAGGGUGCACCAAAAACAAAGCUACGUGUGUCUAAAGAUGCGCAUGGAGGCGGGGAGCUUCGGGCUUUAUAGUGUUGCGCUCGGCUCGCUUCAGGAAGGCCUCAAUCGGCGGACGCGGGAGUCAUGGCGGCGACGGCGCGGCGCGGGGAUCGGGGGGGUUUCCUUCCGAGGAAGAAGAAGGCCCUGACAGGUGGGCCCCACCUGUCAGUGGCAGCGGGCGCGCGCGAGGCACUUGGCCGGUCCGGUUUGGGCUGGCUCGCGUCGGGCCGGCUCGGCCCAAACGGUCGGAUCGGUCCGGUUUCCCUUUUUUUUUCUUUUCUUUUUUCCUUUUUCUCAUUUCUUUGAUAACUUUUGAUUUUGAACUCCAAAUUGGUCCAAAUAAAUCCAGAACAUUUGUAAAAUCAUGUUUUAUCAUGAUACAACUUUUGGGAGUAAUUUUCCCUCAAAAUAAAAUAUAUAAAAAAUACAUUUGCCCUAUAAAUGCCUUUAGGGCUAUAUAACUAUUUAAAUAAAAUAGCUUUUCAACUCCAAAAAUUAUGGGAUAGCUCAUUUAUGCAAUAAACCCCUUUUAUAAAUAAACCUUAAUGGUUUGAAGAUCCAA